GAUGAAGAACGUAGCGAAAUGCGAUAAGUAGUGUGAAUUGCAGAAUUCAGUGAAUCAUCGAAUCUUUGAACGCACAUUGCGCCCCUUGGUAUUCCAUGGGGCAAGCCUGUUCGAGCGUCAUUUGUACCCUCAAGCUUUGCUUGGUGUUGGGCGUCUUGUCGUAUUACGACUCGCCUUAAAUACAUUGGCAGCCGGCACUUUGGCCUAGGAGCGCAGCACAUUUUGCGAUCGUAGCCCGUUGUACUGGCGUCCAUCAAGAACAUUUACCACGUUUGACCUCGGAUCAGGUAGGGAUACCCGCUGAACUUAAGCAUAUCAAUAAGCGGAGGA
rnacentral:misc_RNA from 1 species